AGGGCCGUAGGCGCCCGGCCCGCCUGGCCCCCUGCCCGCGGCUCCCGCCAGCCUCGCAGCCCGCCCGGCUGAGGAUCCAACGACACGGAGGCAGCACAGGAAGCCGAGCUGUGGGCGGGGGGCCUUUUCCAUGCACGCGGCCCCUCGAACAUGAACGCGAGCCCCGGAGGGCCAGAGACGGACCACAGAUCGGUAUCUCUCCGGGCUAAGCGGCCUCACGCCAGCGAGGUAGGAGUGUUCCAAGGAACGUGGGUCUUUUUCCAAGCAGGAAGGAGUGGUUUCUACGCGUUCGCCCUCCUCCGCAUCUCUCUGAGGCUCCAGGCCUGCUGUGUGCAGAGGGGAGGAGGUGUGAACGUCUACUCCAUCGUCAGAGCAUUUGUGGAGCUGCCGGCAGGAAGAGCAGGUGUUCGAGUUUGCCUCUGAAUCUGCACCGCCGCGUCUGACGCUGGGUCGGUUCUGGGGGUCCCGCUCCCCGUCAACCGUGCAGCGCGAGCCUCUUCCCGGGGAAUCACCGUCGCCAGGCGCGUGGCUGGCCUUCAGGGAGCGACACGAGCUCUGAUUUGCUUUCUCUCGGCAAUGGUGUGCGUGAGCUCCCCUCCACCGGCCUGCUGGCAGCGCAAGCCUGGAGACGAAGUGUUUUGAGAGCAGAGCGGGGAGGGCUGCAUCUGCAGAGGGGGCUCUGGGAGGCAGCACGCACCAGGGGUGGGGGCCAGCGGCCGAUAACUCUUGGACGAGGUCAACAGCAGGAGGCAGGGAUGGGCGGAAGCGGGAGGGCUGGGCCAAGAGAUGUCAGCAGACCUUGGCCCGGGAUUUGCAGUAUUUUUAUUGAGAACCGUCAGGGGAAACCCUUCCAAAGGGUGUGGACAGGGUUGGCGGCGUCUGGCAGCUACUUUGCGGGCAAGAGGUCAGUGGAGGGAGGUCAUGAGGUCUGAAAGGGGUCCCCGCCCGCCCCCGCCCUGUCUUCAUCAGGCCGGAGCCGGGAGGUCAGAGGAUGUCUCAGGGAUGCCCUGGGGAGCUGUCUGCAGUCUUGGCGUGCGUGCAGAUCCCGUCCGGCCACUUACCAACUGGACACGGGGCCCCCGCCACCUUGAGAUUGGCUUUCCCUGUUGCGGGAUCGUGGAAGUAAAGACAGCGGUAACCCCUGCCCUUGGCGACGUGCUGUGUGCCAGGCCCUCCGCACGUCUCACCUCACGUGAUCGCCCCGUCCUGGAGGUGGACUCCGGCUCAUUUCCGGGAGGGCUCAGAUGAGGCCAGGGACGUUCGUUAACUUGCUCAAGCCCAGAAACCGGGAAUCUGGACCAGGUCUGCCUGGCUUCGAGCCGGGGCUCUCUCCGUGGCCCUGCGCGGCUCUAACGUGGGUGGCCGUGCCCAGCUCAGUGCCUCACACGCAGCGGGUGCUCAGGAAACGCUGGCAGAAACCUUUCGCCCUGCCCUCCUUGAAGCCUCCCUUUCCUCCUCCCUCUGGGCGCACGCAGCUGUGAACACCUUCGCUGCGGCCUCACCUGUCUCCUGUGCAGGGCGGCCCUGCUCCAGGGAAGUGGCUUCUACCCCGUGGCUGCGUUUCACAGCCCCCCCCAGGGUAGCUGACGUGGUGAAAGAUGGGGGCGCAGGGAGGGGGGAAAGGGAGCUAGCGCUCAGCGGCCAGAAUGUCAGUCGUGCAAGACGAGAAAGUUCGUUGAGAUCUCUCACGCCACACUGUGCGUGUGGUUAAUCCUACUGUCCCACAAACUUAAGUGCGGUUGCCAUGGUGACUUUGAUGCCGUGUAUUUUUUUUUUCUCCCAUAAUAAAAACAAAACCCCAAAGCUGGAUGUGCGAUCUCUAUCGAGAGGGCUCCCAGGGCCAAGGGGAGGGGAGGGCUGCAGGCUCUGGGUGGAGCCUUGGGCCCUGCGUGAGCCUGUGGAAUGGUGCCCCGCCAGGGACAUCGACUGUGGAUGCGGCUUGAGCGAUAAGAGGCCUCAGGUGCUGCUGUGUCAGGCCACUGAGACUCUGGCUUGAUCCGUGAUGGUAGCUCGUGUCUCCUCAACGGGUCAAGGGGGCUUCAAGAGGAAGGCCGGAGACCCCUUUCCCUCUGGAGUUCACAAGCGUCCGAGGGGACAGCGAACACGAGAGGCUGUGACCCAAAGUGGGUGAAAGAAAGGUCCUGAGUGGCUGCGACACAGGGAAGGAACGAUGAUGAGCCCCCGGAUGCUGAACAACCCCUCAGACCGCACGAACUGUCUCAAACUGAGCCCGGCUCCUUCCCCAGACCCGUGCCCUCUGACUGGGGUAACCCCUCUGUGCACCGAAACCGGCGUUGCCCCAGCCCCUCCAUCGUCCCCACACCCACAUUCCAUCAGGAUGCUGAUGCCAACCUGGAAGGUUCUCCGUUCCGUCCGCUCUCGCCCGCAGCAGCCCCCCGCCGGGCUGUGCAAACCUCUGAACCGGUCAGCCGGGUCAUUCUCUCCUUCCUCCACACUGUCCCCAGGGGGAUGCUGGGGAAACCCGUGUGCAUGCCUGGCCGUCUCACUGGUGCUUAGAUAACUUCACUGACCCCUUAAUGUGUACAAGAUGAAUUUCCGUGUUCAGGGGGAGGGCGUCUGGAUCCUCCUGUUCCCACGUUAUUCACAAAACUUUUCCCCUCUGUGGUCCCCGGGGCCCACGCGCAGCUUGGGGUAUUUCCACGAAUCGCUCUCUCCUCCAGGUGGAAUGCCUCCGCCUCCCCCCCAACCCCCGUCGUCAACGAGGCCGGGCGAUGGGUGGGGUCGCCAACCCGGAGUCGACGGCAGAUCUGCAUGGGAGUGACAUCGCGGCACGCCCUUCGGUGCGGGGCCUGGCGGGUGUGUACGUGUGCGUGAUGUGUGCGCCUCUGCCUUUCCAGCCUCCUCCGGGCUGCAGCCCGAGGCAAGUGCACCCUGUCUAAUACCGCCAGCUGGGCCCGCACCCCGGCUGGGCCCCACUGCAGGACAUCUAGUCACGCGAGCCAGCGCCACCGCAGCUCAGAGACGUGGAUGCUUCCACCCCGUGAAAGAUCGGGACACCAAGGGUUAGCAAGGCGCCUCACAGGGGUUCGCGGCCGGAACUAAACUUGGGCAUCUGACUCUCAAACUGUGUCCCCUUCUGUUACACUUUGUGUCCCUGGGGAGUCACAGAUGCCGUCUCUCCUGCCUUUUCCCCAGAUGCUCCUCGGAGGCCCUUAUGCCAUGUGGGCAGCCAACAUGUGCUAGAGGCUUCCUCUGUGCCCGAAUGGGGUAGACUACGAAAGUGACCACGGAUGCUUCCCCUCCCCCAUUCACACCUCCUUGACCUGUCACUUGGGGAGCCCUCUCAUCCUACCUCUGGGCGUGGCCAUAUGACUUGCUUUGGCGGAGGGAUGUUAACAGACGUGUCAUAAGUGGAGGCUUGAGAAGCAUGCACAGUGGGACUGGUCCUCUCUUGCUGCUCUUGGAACUCUGCUCCCUUGUGAAGAAGCCCGGGCCAGCCUUCUGGAACAUGAGAGACCCAUGGCCCAAUUACACCUGUUCCUCAUUUGACAGCUUGCCAACUGCCAGACAUACAAGUGAGGCAUCCCGGACCAUCCAGCCACCGGCCGCCCACCAGCUGACCAUGGACACAGGACAGAGCCCAGGCACGAUCAGCAGAAUCAGCUCAAACAUGAGAACUGCCCAGCUGACCCACCAAAUCAUGAGCUAAGUAAACACGUGUUGUUUUAACCACUACACCUUAGGGUGGUUUGUUAUGCAGCAAAAGCUAACUGAUGUAAGACAUUGUAUUUUAGUUAUUAUUGUUGUGUAACAAACUUAACUUAGACCCCCAAACUUAAUUGCCUGAAACGACCAUUGUAUCAUGCUCAUGAUAUGAGUCAGAGAUUUGGAAAGGGUACAGUGUGAAUCACGUCUUGGCUCUGUGCUGUCGGGAGCCUCAGCUGGGACGACUCAAGGGCUGAUGACUUGGGGUAUUGAUGGCUGGGGGCUGGAAUAAUCUGGAGGUGUCUUUGCUCACUCCUGGGAGUUGAGAUUGGUAGCUGGCAUCUCAGUAGGAGCUGUCUGUGGGAGCAGCUACACGUGGCUUCUCCAUGUGGCCUGAGUUUCCGAAAGCCAUGGCUGGUUUCCAGGGAGCCGAACUUUAAUGGCGGCCCAGAGCUCCAAAGGCAAGGCCACCUGCUAAUAAGGAGGAGGCUCAGCGCCAUUCGUGACCUUGCCAUGGAAUACUACUGGGCAAUGAGAAAGAAUGAAAUCUGGCCUUUUGUAGCAACGUGGACGGAACUGGAGAGUGUUAUGCUAAGUGAAAUAAGUCAUACAGAGAAAGACAGAUACCAUAUGUUUUCGCUCUUAUGCGGAUCCUGAGAAACUUAACAGAAGACCAUGGGGGAGGGGAAGAAAAAAAAAAGGUUAGAGAGGGAGGGAGCCAAACCAUAAGAGACUCUUAAAAACUGAGAAUAAACUGAGGGUUGAUGGGGGGUGGGUGAUGGGCAUUGAGGAGGGCACCUGUUGGGAUGAGCCCUGGGUGUUGUAUGGAAACCAAUUUGACAGUAAAUUUCACACUAAAAAAAAAAAAUUAAAAUUAAAAAUUAAAAAAUAACUUUUUAAAUAAUAAUAAUAAUAAAAAAAGGAUGUCACACGGCAUCACUUCUGCUGCCUCCCGUUGGACACAGGCCAGUCGUCAGGUCUCUGCACCCCCACUGCCUCCUAAUCAGGGGAAGAGAAUUCGGCUCCUCCUUGAUUGGGGAGCAGCAAGGUUCCAGAUGAGCAUUCGGGGCGGGAAAUAUAUUGCGGUCACUUUUGGAAAAUACAGUCUGCCGCCCAUUAUCUCACCCAGUAUCUGCAAUAACCCAGAGAGAAAGGGAGGCACCGUUGUUCUCCCCACUUCUUAUGAGAAGCAGAGGCUCGGACAGAGGGUCACGUGCUCAGGGCCGGAUGUCAGUAGCUGUCAGACCUGAGACUAACCUCGCCACCUUUCCUGGGCUGCCUGUUGGUCCUUGGAUCCAUGUCUUGGUGUCCCUUCUCCUUCUACCCUUUGAGCUUCAUGCUUUGUCUCUGUCUUGGGUGGGAUGCCUUCUAAUAAGCAGCUGCAUUUCUCACUGUCUCUCUUGACCGUGUUGGGGGUCCCCGCAGGCUCCCCAAUCCCAUCCCUAGAGGCCAGGGGCCUGGUUGUGGUGGGCAGAGGGAGGAACUCUAACAUAAACAUGCUUGACCGAUCACCACUCUCCCUCCUUCUGCAAAAUAGAUACAGUUUGGAGGUCCCCAGGAGGCAACUUGAAUUUAAAUCCUAAGAGGAUGGAAACUGGGGUUACGUCUCUGGACUUUGGAAGAUUUACUUUUUAUGUUACAAAAACUACCACUACUGAGUAUUUGCGGUCCUGUUUCCUACCCAGACCCUCCCGCCAGCCCACACAAAUCUCCAGCUUUGCCUACCGACAUUCCCCUCCCUACUUCUUUUUUUGUUUUUUAAUAUUUGUUUAUUUUUUUGAGAAAGAGAGUGUGAGUGGGGGAGGGGCAGGGAGAGAGGGGGACAGAGGGUCUGAAGCCAGCUCCAUGUUGACAGCAGCGAGCCAAUAUGGGGCUCGAACUCGUGGACUGUGAGAUCACAACCUGAGCUGAAGUCGGAUGCUCAACCAAUGGAGCCACCCAGGCAUCCCGACAUUCUGCUCCCUUCUUAAGGGGAGAUGGGAGGACCCGUAUGGAUAGCAGUGCCCUGUGGGCUUUAAUAACAUUUAUUGAUGUAUAAAAUAUAUUUAGGAUAUGUGUGGAUGGACAAAAUGUCCAUUAAUGGGAGAAUGGGAUAGGGCUGUCAGGUCAAAUGCAGGAUUUUCUGUUAAACUUGAAUUUCUGCAAAACAAUAAGCCCUGUGGCUAGAAGCAGGUCUCCCACUUAUAAAAGGGCACAUAUGGUCAAUGUACAGUUUGAUGAAUUUUCACAGAGGAACUCGUCCUGUGUCACCAGCAGCCAUAUCAAGAAACAGAACUUUCCAGGCUCCCAAAAUGUCCCUCGCGUCCCCAUGCAGGAACGACCCAUCCCCUCACUAUCCCGGCCUUUAACAACAUAAAUGAGUUCUGGCUGGUUUUGAAUGUCAUAUAAAUGGAACCACUCUGUCUGUAUUCUCUUGUGUCUUGUUUCUUUCCCGGAUCAUCACGUCUGAGAGAUCUAUCCCUGUCAUGCAUGGCAGCAGUUCAUUUGAGGUAAUAAUUACUGUAUGAGCCACGCUUGCACUGAACAAUUAUUUGUUGUUUCUCUGAAAUUCACAUUGAACUGGGUGUCCUGUAAUUUACACGGCAACCCCGUUGGGUUCUUCUGUUAAAUGGACACUUUGUGGUCUUCUGUUUGGGGCUCUGAGGAGCAGAGCUGCGGGGAAUAUCCCAAUACUUGUCUUUUGGUGAACAUAUGGACUCAUUUCCUUUGGGUGUUUACCUAGAAGUGAAAUUUCUGGUCGUAGGGAAUGUGUAUGUUCGGGGCAGUGCAUCCUGUCAAGAGGCGUUCCAAAUGGUACCAUUUUACACUCUAACCAGCAGCGUGUGAAAGUUCCAGUGGCUCUAUAUCCUCGCCAAUACCUGGCAUUUUCUGCCCUUUUCUUUGCAGUCAUUCUAGUGGGUUUGAUCUGGUUUGAUCUCAUUGUGGUUUUAAUUUGCAUAUCCCUGUGGAUCACGAAGCCGGGCACUUUUUCGCAGGCCUCGUGCCCCUGUGGGUUUCCUCCUUCAUGAAUCGCCUGUUCUAGCAUGUUGCCCUUUGUUCUGCUGAGACGUCUUUCUUUUCCCUAUUGCUCUGUAGGCGUUUCUUAUAUGGUUGGCAUACUAGUUAUUUUUCAGAAGUACGUCAACUAUCUUCUCCUGGGGAGUUUUGGGGAACGGGUGAGAGAGGAUUCCUGGCUUGUUGUGGGUCGUGCAGUUGACUUGGAAGAGUCAAGAAGGAAGAGGAGUUUAACGAGAAUUGCCGUGGAUAAUGGCUCUUCUCCAAUGGCCUUUCAAGGGCACAGGUGAAGAACAGACUGUUUCUUUGAGCGCCUCACUCAUUCUGAGACUGGGCCACAUGGGGCCCUGAGCAAUAUUCAGAUCUUGACAUGAGGGCACAGAAAGAUUUCCAUUGUAUUGAGCUGAUAGUGUGUCUUGGGACAUUUAAUCUAGGAAGGUUGGAAACACUUCCAAGAAAUUCGUAUAUGUCCUUGGCAUGAACUCUGGUGCCUGUUUCCACCCCCUGAGGGGAGAGGCCAUCCCUAAGAGAAUGGGGAUUAUUAUUUGUCACAGAGGGAAAAACCCUCCUCCAGAACACACACUUGAGAAGAAGAAAAUAUGGAGUAUUUGAACACUAGUGGCAUCUGAAAGGUACACUUAAUUCAUAAAUCAAGGCUGCACAGCAGAUAUUUAUGGCAAUUCUUGCUAGAGGAAAUAUUAAAAUUUGUAAGAAUUGUAAAUGCUGUAACCCAAAAUGCUAUAGUCACCGGUCAUAAUUGAUGACUUCCUCUUGAAUGUAUUGAAUAAAUUAAUUUCAUUGCUAUA